UACGUAGGGGGCAAGCGUUGUCCGGAUUUAUUGGGCGUAAAGAGCGUGUAGGCGGCCAGGUAGGUCCGUUGUGAAAACUGGAGGCUUAACCUCCAGCGGUCGAUGGAAACCAUCUGGCUAGAGUCCGGAAGAGGAGAGUGGAAUUCCGUGGUGUAGCGGUGAAAUGCGCAGAUAUCAGGAAGAACACCCGUGGCGAAGGCGGCAUCCUGGACCAAGCACUGACGCUGAGUGAGCGAAAGCCAGGGGAGCAAACGGG
rnacentral:rRNA from 1 species